rnacentral:rRNA from 1 species
GAUGAACGCUGGCGGCGUGCCUAAUACAUGCAAGUCGAGCGAACAGACGAGGAGCUUGCUCCUCUGACGUUAGCGGCGGACGUGUGUGUAACACGUGGAUAACCUACCUAUAAGACUGGGAUAAGCUCGGGACACCGGAGCUAAUACCGGAUAAUAUAUUUAACCGCAUGGUUCAAUAGUGAAAGACGGUUUUGCUGUCACUUAUAGAUGGAUCCCAGCCGCAUUAGCUAGUUGGUAAGGUAACGGCUUACCAAGGCAACGAUGCGUAGCCGACCUGAGAGGGUGAUCGGCCACACUGGAACUGAGACACGGUCCAGACUCCUACGGGAGGCAGCAGUAGGGAAUCUUGCGCAAUGGGCGAAAGCCUGACGGAGCAACGCCGCGUGAGUGAAGAAGGUCUUCGGAUCGUAAAGCUCUGUUAUUAGGGAAGAACAAAUGUGUAAGUAAAUAUGCACGUCUUGACGGUACCUAAUCAGAAAGCCACGGCUAACUACGUG